AUUGAACGCUGGCGGCAUGCCUUACACAUGCAAGUCGAACGGCAGCACGGGAGCAAUCCUGGUGGCGAGUGGCGAACGGGUGAGUAAUAUAUCGGAACGUGCCCAGUAGUGGGGGAUAACUGCUCGAAAGAGCAGCUAAUACCGCAUACGACCUGAGGGUGCAAGGGGGGGAUCGCAAUACCUCCCGCUAUUGGAGCGGCCGUUAUCAGAUUAGCUAGUUGGUGGGGUAAAGGCCUACCAAGGAAACGAUCUGUAGUUGGUCUGAGAGGACGACCAGCCACACUGGGACUGAGACACGGCCCAGACUCCUACGGGAGGCAGCAGUGGGGAAUUUUGGACAAUGGGCGCAAGCCUGAUCCAGCAAUGCCGCGUGCAGGAAGAAGGCCUUCGGGUUGUAAACUGCUUUUGUCAGGGAAGAAAUCCUCUAGGUUAAUACCCUUGGGGGGAUGACGGUACCUGAAGAAUAAGCACCGGCUAACUACGUGCCAGCCGCCGCCGUAAGAC
rnacentral:rRNA from 1 species